AGGCCUCGUUUGGUUUCACCGAAUCCCCCCGGGAUCCCUGCCUUUUCCCCGGGCCGACAAACCACGGACAGAAUAAACCCCGGAAUUCUCACGAUCACGUUUGGACGCCCACAAGGAAGGAGUACCCCUGGCCUUUCCCCGGCCUUUCCCCGGGAAAGGCUCCCACGAGUGCAGACGUCGGGGAGGAAACCCUCGCUCGUUCUGUCUCGCACUCGUGAACGACUGGCGGCGGCGGCGACUGGAAAACCUCCUCCGUCCACCGCUCUGGUCUGCCUCCGUCCACCGCUCCUGCCUCCUCCGACCGGCGACUGCGACGCCCCCUGCCCUCCUCCCUUCGACGCUCUGCCCCUCCGGAUGGGGUGACGGGGCCGGGGUCGCCAUCCUACUACUUCCCGGAUCUCGUCUCCGCCCCCAAGAUCUUCACCUUCCGAUGACGACGACGGCCAGGAGAUCAUGCUCCUCUUCGUCCAAGAUCCAAGAGCCCUCUCUCCUGUUUGAGUUUUGUAUCACAAGAACCAAUACGAAAGAACAUCCAUCGUUUGCAGUAGUGUUUCUACCUAACUAUCAUGGCCUCACAACAAAGCCAAUUGAUAGUAUUAUCGAUGCAGUGCUGUUAAGUCAUCAAUUACUAAUAUACUGUUAGAAAAUGGCCUUUACUGAUUGAAGGAGAAAAUUGCUACCAAGGAGAAAACAUAAGGUUUCCUAAAGCUAGUCAAUGAAAUUGUUCAAAGAAGUUGAUCUUGGAAGUUUCAGUAGUGACUAUCCCAGCAGCAACACAUUUUGGCAUGGAUGAUUUACACAGAUACAUGUUAAUAAUGGAACUAAAUGAUUAUUCUUGCUGGAUUUCUACCUUAGUUAGCAUUUCCGCUGUUAAACCAUGAUUAGCACGCUAAAUUUAUUCGCAGUGUCGUUAUUUGUGCGACUGAACAUGUAUAACUUAUGGUCAGCGUGUUUGAUGUGGA
rnacentral:rRNA from 1 species